rnacentral:tRNA from 1 species
UAGCUGAAUAGGUAAAGCAUUUGGUUUCCGAACCAAGGGUCCGGGUUUGAAUCCUGG